rnacentral:misc_RNA from 1 species
AACGCACAUUGCGCCUCCCCUAACCGGGAGGCAUGCCUGUCUGAGCGUCAUUUAAACCAUAGCCCCUUUAUGGGUCUGUCUUGGGCCUCGCCCGUCGGCGUCGCCUCGAAGUCAUCGGUCUAAGAGCGGACGAGAUCCUUUGGGACUUACCGUUCUCGACCUUAAACCUCUGACUUGACCUCAGAUCAGGUAGGGCUACCACCUGAACUUAA